GAAUUCAGGGUGGAAGCCUACCCGAGUUUCAUUCCCUUCAUAGAUAGAAAAAAAAUAACUUCGCAUCCAUAUAUUUUUGCUCCUGUUUGCCACUCGGGGCAUUGGUGGUUAUGGAUAAUAAAUACAACAAAGCGGAAAUGUCAUAUACUUGACCCGCUACACAAAAAAGCUCCAAGCGAUGAGAGAAAGGACAUUAAUAAAUUCACUGGAUAUGUAUUUUCAAGAUUGAUAACAUAUGCCGGCAGGGAACCUCUGCAGAAAGGGGAGAACGAGAAGAAAAUUAAAGCAUCAUAUGUUAAAAUAUCAGGCCAAAAAACA